GCUGUGGUGGUGUAGUGGUUAGCAUUUCUCCCUAGCAAGCAGGAAGACCCGGGUUCGAACCCCGGCUGCAGCA